GACGAACGCUGGCGGUGUGCUUAACACAUGCAAGUCGAACGAUGAAGCCGGAGCUUGCUCUGGUGAAUUAGUGGUGAACGGGUGAGUAACACGUGAGUAACCUGCCCUUGACUCUGGGAUAACUGCGGGAAACUGUAGCUAAUACCGGAUACGACCCUCGGAGGCAUCUCCUGGGGGUGGAAAGAAUUUCGGUCAAGGAUGGACUCGCGGCCUAUCAGCUAGUUGGUGAGGUAAAGGCUCACCAAGGCGACGACGGGUAGCCGGCCUGAGAGGGGGACGGGGCGCGGUGGGACUGAGGCGCGGCGGGGACUCCUCCGGGAGGCAGCAGUGGGGAAUAUUGCACAAUGGGCGCAAGCAUGAUGCAGCAGCGCCGCGUGAGGGAUGACGGCCUUCGGGUUGUAAACCUCUUUUAGCAGGGAAGAAGCGAAAGUGACGGUACCUGCAGAAAAAGCACCGGCUAACUACGUGCCAGCAGCCGCCGUAA
rnacentral:rRNA from 1 species